AACGAACGCUGGCGGCAGGCCUAACACAUGCAAGUCGAGCGGACCCUUCGGGGUUAGCGGCGGACGGGUGAGUAACGCGUGGGAAUAUGCCCUUCUCUACGGAAUAGUCCUGGGAAACUGGGGGUAAUACCGUAUACGCCCUUUGGGGGAAAGAUUUAUCGGGGAAGGAUUAGCCCGCGUUGGAUUAGGUAGUUGGUGGGGUAAUGGCCUACCAAGCCGACGAUCCAUAGCUGGUUUGAGAGGAUGAUCAGCCACACUGGGACUGAGACACGGCCCAGACUCCUACGGGAGGCAGCAGUGGGGAAUCUUGGACAAUGGGGGCAACCCUGAUCUAGCCAGGCCGGGUGAGUGAUGAAGGCCUUAGAGUUGUAAAGCUCUUUCAGCUGGGAAGAUAAUGACGGUACCAGCAGAAGAAGCCCCGGCUAACUCCGUG
rnacentral:rRNA from 1 species